GGGAGCCCAGGCAGAGGAGGCGCCCAGAGCGAGCGAGGGCUGUGAGGACUGCCAGCACGCUGUCACCUCUCACUCAUAUAGAUUGCCAAUCUAUUUGUGAACCAGGUUUGCUGGAGUUUGGAUUUACUACUGAGUCAUAUUUGGAGCAUGCUGGAAUCUUACAACUGAGAUUACCGAGUCAGAAACUGUUGUUUUUGUUGUAAGAACACUCAACAUGGCCGGGCACGGUGGCUCACACCUGUAAUCCCAGCACUUUGGGAGGCCG
rnacentral:lncRNA from 1 species